CAGCAGCCACGGGAAUACGGGGGGGGCAAGUGUUAUUCGGAAUGACUGGGCGUAAAGGGCACGUAGGCGGUGAAAAGGGUGGAAAGUGAAAGUCGCCAAAACACUGGCGGGGUGCUUUCUUGACCAUUUCACUUGAGUGAGAUAGGGGAGAGUGGAAUUUCGUGUGGAGGGAUCAAAUCCUAAGAUAUACGAAGGAACGCCAACCGCGAAGGCAGCUCUCUGGGUCCCCACUGACGCUGGGGUGCGAAAGCAUGGGGAGCAAACAGGAUCAGAUACCCCUGUAGUCCCUGUCUCUUAUACA
rnacentral:rRNA from 1 species